rnacentral:lncRNA from 1 species
CGCGCAUCAGCAAAGCUCGCGACCAGCUCUCCGCUGGUCGUUAUUCGGGCGCUGAAGGUGUGAGGGGUCCGGACUGAGUUGAAGACACCCAGCCCUAGGUACCAGCUGGGGAUGUUCUGUCACUUCAAGGAUACUGAAAGCCGGAAGAGUCACUUGAGGGAGUUUCCGCUAUCAUUGCCUCUGGAAGGUUUUGCGACCUGGCUCGCAGGAAACCCUAAAUAAAUAUCGUGAAUUCAUAAAAGCUGAAAUAGAGCAGGGAGACAGCCCAAAUAGAUUUAAGUUUUUAAAUGAAAAGUCAACUCCUUGCCAUGGCCUGUGACACCAGGUUCUACUGAUCCAGGCUCCUCUGUGACUCCAGCCUGGUCCUUGCCACCCAGUCCUCAUGCUUCAGAUAUACUCGAAAGACUAUGUCGAGUACAUAGCAGAUACCUGGGACCCAUUUUGCUGAUUUCAAAGUUCCUUUGGAAAGCAGACUCUGACUCCAGCUCCACCAAGAGUUCCCGUGACUACUUCAGACAUGAGUUCAGCAAUCUCUCGGGAUCUCCAGCUCCAUGUCUUCAAUCCUGUCUAUGAGACCUGUGUGACUUCUCCCUAUGUGAAGAGGAGCCCCAUCUGCCCUUCUGAUGUGGAACAACAUGCAAAGAGUCGUGAUUUAUACAAGGGAACAGAAAAGGAUGAAGGCACAGGAGCCUGCCUCCCAGGUCAGCACUUGCUGAGAUCUGAGUUCAGUUGUCUGUGAUCUCUCCAAAAGCAGAAAUAAACCACCUGAUUGUGGCUAUAGCUGUGACACCCC